AGUCCGUGGUGUAGGCAACAUCAAAGCAAGUUUUUGUACCUCUCCCAAGCAUCAUACAUGCUCUCGUCAUCGAACUGCAUAAAAGAAGAUAUGUCAUUUCUCAAUCU
rnacentral:snoRNA from 1 species